rnacentral:rRNA from 1 species
AGAGUUGAUUAUGGCUCAGGACGAACGCUGGCGGCGUGCCUAACACAUGCAAGUCGAGCGAGGAGAUUCCUUCGGGAUGAUCCUAGCGGCGGACGGGUGAGUAACACGUGGGCAACCUGCCUCAUAGAGAGGAAUAGCCUUCCGAAAGGGAGAUUAAUACCUCAUAACAUUGCAGUUUCGCAUGGAACAGCAAUUAAAGGAGUAAUCCGCUAUGAGAUGGGCCCGCGGCGCAUUAGCUAGUUGGUGAGGUAAUGGCUCACCAAGGCGACGAUGCGUAGCCGACCUGAGAGGGUGAUCGGCCACAUUGGGACUGAGACACGGCCCAGACUCCUACGGGAGGCAGCAGGUGGGGAAUAUUGCACAAUGGGGGAAACCCUGAUGCCAGCAACGCCGCGUGAGUGAUGACGGCCUUCGGGUUGUAAAGCUCUGUCUUCAGGGACGAUAAUGACGGUACCUGAGGAGGAAGCCACGGCUAACUACGUGCCAGCCGCCGC